UACGAAGGGGGCUAGCGUUGUUCGGAAUCACUGGGCUUAAAGCGCGUGUAGGCGGCCUUGUAAGUCCGUUCUGAAAGCCCGGGGCUCAACCCCGGGAGGCGGAUGGAUACUGCAAGGCUCGAGUACGGAAGAGGCGAGUGGAAUUCCCGGUGUAGCGGUGAAAUGCGCAGAUAUCGGGAGGAACACCAAUGGCGAAGGCAGCUCGCUGGGACGUUACUGACGCUGAGACGCGAAAGCGUGGGGAGCAAACAGGG
rnacentral:rRNA from 1 species